rnacentral:rRNA from 1 species
UACAGAGACUGCAAGCGUUAUUCGGAUUCACUGGGCGUAAAGGGUGCGCAGGUGGCCAUGUGUGUGAGGCGUGAAAGCCCGGGGCUUAACCCCGGAAUUGCACCUCAAACUACAUGGCUAGAGCAUUGGAGAGGGGAGCAGAAUUCACGGUGUAGCAGUGAAAUGCGUAGAUAUCGUGAGGAAUACCAGAGGCGAAGGCGGCUCCCUGGACAAUUGCUGACACUCAGGCACGAAAGCGUGGGGAGCAAAAGGG